CCUACGGGAGACAGCAGUGAGGAAUAUUGGUCAAUGGGCGCGAGCCUGAACCAGCCAAGUAGCGUGAAGGAUGACUGCCCUAUGGGUUGUAAACCUCUUUUAUAAAGGAAUAAAGUGCGGCACGUGUGCCUUUUUGCAUGUACUUUAUGAAUAAGGAUCGGCUAACUCCGUGCCAGCAGCCGCGGUGAUACGGAGGAUCCGAGCGUUAUCCGGAUUUAUUGGGUUUAAAGGGAGCGUAGGUGGGUUGUUAAGUCAGUUGUGAAAGUUUGCGGCUCAACCGUAAAAGUGCAAUUGAUACUGGCAGCCUUGAGUACAGUUGAGGUAGGCGGAAUUCGUGGUGUAGCGGUGAAAUGCUUAGAUAUCACGAAGAACUCCGAUUGCGAAGGCAGCCUACUA
rnacentral:rRNA from 1 species